UUCGCUGUAGCAAAGCUCGGCCUCUGGAAUUCUGAGAACUAAUUUGCUAUUCGGUGACAUAAGAGGGGGAGUGCGCUUUGCUUUCCCGGGGUCUGGGGCUAAUUCCUCCUCUCUUACCCAUAAACUCAGCUCCUCGAGCUAAAUACACAAAAGGGAGCGAGAGGUUCGACCCGUUGGAAAAAGUCUGUUAUAUAUAGUAGCUUUAGAGGCGAGGUAGAGAAAAAAACAAUAAACACCACAGCUCUUUUCAGCUAGAAUAUUAGGCACCAGGAGAAAAAUAUUUGCCAAGCAGUUUUCGUUUAUCAUGGAAAGAGGACAUAGAGUGAGCAUCCCUGCAAAAGAGCCAUUUGCUGUGGCCUUACAUUCAGAGAAGUCCUCAGAGUUGGACUUUUGACAUGCUCUCCACUGAGGUUCUGCUGCAGUCUUAGUGGCGCACUGACAGGAUCGAAAGAAGACCUUCACACACAAGUUUUGUGUGCGGGUCCCGCCGCAAGACCCAGUGUAGGAGCCCUCCCAGUCCCCCAUGGUGCUGUGAUUUCAUACUGUUACUAAAUCUAGAAUUGUCA